AUCCAGCUGACGAAUCUCAAAUAGGACAAUGAAACACGUGUCCUGGAU
rfam:Schistosoma rodhaini strain Burundi genome assembly, scaffold: SROB_scaffold0000671